CAGGAGGUCUUUGAAAUUUAUCCUCAUGUGAUGCUGUAAAAAUGACAAUUAUUCAUGAUGCUCUCUCAACCUUAACAAACUCUGUGAUCAUUCCACAUUCUGGAUGGAAUAACUCUUCAUGAUGGCCAUAAAAUUAAAUUUCAGACUUCACUAGUUCUGUGUAAUAUGACAGGUUGCCUGAGGAACCUCAGUUGCAUGGGGUAAGAAGCUCAGAAGCAAAAGCAGUCCUGAGAGGGGCUAGUGGACUCGCUGUUGUAUGUGAUCUACACGUGUAUGAAUACAUCUGAUUACGACAGCAAGAUAGUGAAGAAUUGCGUGUGCACCCUGAGGAACCUGUCCUAUCGGCUGGAGCUGGAGGCGCUCCAGACCUGGUUACUGGGACUGAACGAAUGUGAUGACUUACUAGAAAAAGUUUCCCAGCAAAGACUCUGAGCCAAGCUGCUGGGGGAAGAAAAAGUAAAAGAGGACUCCGCAAGAAGAUCAAUGGGAUGGAGUUGGUCCUAUCCCAGGACUGUCAAAAAGGGGUUGAGAUGCUGUGGCACCCAUCAGUGGUGAAGCUAUAUCUGACUCUUCUAGCAGAAAGUUUCAACCCAGCCACCUUGGAAGGCUCUGCCAGACCUCUCCAGAACCUCUCUGCUGGCAACUGGAAGUUUGCAGGAUACAUCGGGGUGGCUGUCUGAAAAUAAAAGGGGCUCCCCAUCCUUGUGGAACUUCUGAGAAUGGAUAACGAUAGAGUUGUUUCUUCCAUGGCAACUGCCUUGAGGAAUAUGACACUAGAUGUUCGCAACAAGGAGCUCAUAAGCAAAUACGCCAUGCGAGACCUGGUCAACCAUCUUCCCUGCAGCAAUGGUCCCAGUGUCUUAUCUGAUGAGUCCAAGGCAGCCAUCUGCUGUGCUCUGCAUGAGGUCACCAGCAAAAACAUGGAGAACACCAAAGCCCUGGCUGACUUGGGAGACAUAGAGAAGCUGGUGAACAUAACCAAAGGCAGGGGCAACAGAUCAUCUCUAAAAGUAGUGAAGGCAGCAGCCCAGGUCUUGAAUACAUUAUGGCAAUAUCAGGACCGCUGGAGCAUUUAUAAAAAUGAUGGGUGGAAUCAGAACCAUUUUAUUACACCUGUGUCGACAAUGGAGCGAGACUGAUUCAAAUCACGUCCUUCCUUGUCUACCACCAACCAAAAGACGUCACCCAUCGUUCAGUCAGGCUCCAGCAAACCUUCACCAGUUUACAUCAGUUCAUAUUCCUCACCAGCAAGAGAAUUAAAUAGACAACUACAGCAUCAACAGCUGUAUUACAGUCAAGAUGACUCCAACAAAAUAACUUUGAAUCAUACAGAUUGUAUUUGCAGUCUCCUCAUAGUUAUGAAG